rnacentral:rRNA from 1 species
AUUGAACGCUGGCGGCAGGCCUAACACAUGCAAGUCGAGCGGAGCGGCGGACGGGUGAGUAAUGCCUAGGAAUCUGCCUGGUAGUGGGGUAUAACGUCCGGAAACGGGCGCUAAUACCGCAUACUCUCAGCUGAGCCUCGGUCGGAUUAGCUAGUUGGUGGGGUAAAGGCCUACCAAGGCGACGAUCCGUAACUGGUCUGAGAGGAUGAUCAGUCACACUGGAACUGAGACACGGUCAAGACGCCUACGGGAGGCAGCAGUGGGGAAUAUUGGACCAUGGGCGAGAGCCUGAUACAGCCAUGCCGCGUGUGUGAAGAAGGUCUUCGGAUUGUAAAGCACUUUAAGUUGUGAGGCGUUACCAACAGAAUAAGUACCGGCUAACUUCGUGACAGCAGCCGCGGUAAUAC